GACAAGGGGAAUUCGACUAUUUAAUUAAAACAAAGCAUUGUGAUGCUCCUCGUGGAUGUUGAUUCAAUGUGAUUUAUACCUAGUGCUCUGCAUGUGAAAGUGAAGAAAUUCAACUAAGAGCGAGUAAACAACAUGAAUAACUAUGACUCUCUUAAUGUAGUCAGAUGCCUAGUCAUAUAAUUAGUGACAUGUAUGAAUGGAUUAACAAGAUUCCC
rnacentral:ncRNA from 1 species